UACGUAGGGGGCGAGCGUUGUCCGGAUUUAUUGGGCGUAAAGAGCGUGUAGGCGGCCAGGUAGGUCUGCUGUGAAAACUCGAGGCUCAACCUCGAGACGUCGGCGGAAACCAUCUGGCUAGAGUCCGGAAGAGGAGAGUGGAAUUCCUGGUGUAGCGGUGAAAUGCGCAGAUAUCAGGAGGAACACCGAUGGCGAAGGCAGGUCUCUGGGCAUUAACUGACGCUGAGGGACGAAAGCUAGGGGAGCGAAUGGG
rnacentral:rRNA from 1 species